rnacentral:RNase_P_RNA from 1 species
AGUUCAAUUCGGGCAAUUGUCCCGGUUUUUGCCGGGGAGGAAAGUCCGAACUUCUCAGAACAGGGUGCCGGGUAACUCCCGGAUCCCGAUUUAUCGGGAAUGGAAAGUGCCACAGAAAAUAAACUUCCUUUCCUUAAGCGGAAAGGUAAAGGUGAAACGGCAGGGUAAGAGCCUACCGCUCCGAUAGUAAUACCGGAGGCAGGGCAAACCCCACCCGAAGCAAGGUCAAAUAAGGGAACUAAUCCCGAUUGUAUAGGGACAAAGAUGUUCUGCUUUGAUUUCUGCUUAGCAGGAUGAAGUUUCCGGGUAGACCGCUUGAUUCCGGUAGUAAUACCGGAGCCAGACAAAUAAUUGCCGUCUCGAUUUUUAUCGGGAAACAGAAUUCGGCUUACAGAAUUGAACAUACU